AAAUUGAAGAGUUUGAUCAUGGCUCAGAUUGAACGCUGGCGGCAGGCCUAACACAUGCAAGUCGAGCGGUAGCACAGAGAGCUUGCUCUCGGGUGACGAGCGGCGGACGGGUGAGUAAUGUCUGGGAAACUGCCUGAUGGAGGGGGAUAACUACUGGAAACGGUAGCUAAUACCGCAUAACGUCGCAAGACCAAAGUGGGGGACCUUCGGGCCUCAUGCCAUCAGAUGUGCCCAGAUGGGAUUAGCUAGUAGGUGGGGUAACGGCUCACCUAGGCGACGAUCCCUAGCUGGUCUGAGAGGAUGACCAGCCACACUGGAACUGAGACACGGUCCAGACUCCUACGGGAGGCAGCAGUGGGGAAUAUUGCACAAUGGGCGCAAGCCUGAUGCAGCCAUGCCGCGUGUGUGAAGAAGGCCUUCGGGUUGUAAAGCACUUUCAGCGGGGAGGAAGGCGGUGAGGUUAAUAACCUCACCGAUUGACGUUACCCGCAGAAGAAGCACCGGCUAACUCCGUGCCAGCAGCCGCGGUAAUACGGAGGGUGCAAGCGUUAAUCGGAAUUACUGGGCGUAAAGCGCACGCAGGCGGUCUGUCAAGUCGGAUGUGAAAUCCCCGGGCUCAACCUGGGAACUGCAUUCGAAACUGGCAGGCUAGAGUCUUGUAGAGGGGGGUAGAAUUCCAGGUGUAGCGGUGAAAUGCGUAGAGAUCUGGAGGAAUACCGGUGGCGAAGGCGGCCCCCUGGACAAAGACUGACGCUCAGGUGCGAAAGCGUGGGGAGCAAACAGGAUUAGAUACCCUGGUAGUCCACGCUGUAAACGAUGUCGAUUUGGAGGUUGUGCCCUUGAGGCGUGGCUUCCGGAGCUAACGCGUUAAAUCGACCGCCUGGGGAGUACGGCCGCAAGGUUAAAACUCAAAUGAAUUGACGGGGGCCCGCACAAGCGGUGGAGCAUGUGGUUUAAUUCGAUGCAACGCGAAGAACCUUACCUGGUCUUGACAUCCACAGAACUUUCCAGAGAUGGAUUGGUGCCUUCGGGAACUGUGAGACAGGUGCUGCAUGGCUGUCGUCAGCUCGUGUUGUGAAAUGUUGGGUUAAGUCCCGCAACGAGCGCAACCCUUAUCCUUUGUUGCCAGCGGUCCGGCCGGGAACUCAAAGGAGACUGCCAGUGAUAAACUGGAGGAAGGUGGGGAUGACGUCAAGUCAUCAUGGCCCUUACGACCAGGGCUACACACGUGCUACAAUGGCAUAUACAAAGAGAAGCGACCUCGCGAGAGCAAGCGGACCUCAUAAAGUAUGUCGUAGUCCGGAUUGGAGUCUGCAACUCGACUCCAUGAAGUCGGAAUCGCUAGUAAUCGUAGAUCAGAAUGCUACGGUGAAUACGUUCCCGGGCCUUGUACACACCGCCCGUCACACCAUGGGAGUGGGUUGCAAAAGAAGUAGGUAGCUUAACCUUCGGGAGGGCGCUUACCACUUUGUGAUUCAUGACUGGGGUGAAGUCGUAACAAGGUAACCGUAGGGGAACCUGCGGUUGGAUCACCUCCUUACCUUAAAGAA
rnacentral:rRNA from 1 species